rnacentral:rRNA from 1 species
GAUGAACGCUGGCGGCGUGCCUAAUACAUGCAAGUCGAGCGAACAGACGAGGAGCUUGCUCCUCUGACGUUAGCGGCGGACGGGUGAGUAACACGUGGAUAACCUACCUAUAAGACUGGGAUAACUUCGGGAAACCGGAGCUAAUACCGGAUAAUAUAUUGAACCGCAUGGUUCAAUAGUGAAAGACGGUUUUGCUGUCACUUAUAGAUGGAUCCGCGCCGCAUUAGCUAGUUGGUAAGGUAACGGCUUACCAAGGCAACGAUGCGUAGCCGACCUGAGAGGGUGAUCGGCCACACUGGAACUGAGACACGGCCCAGACUCCUACGGGAGGCAGCGGUAGGGAAUCUUCCGCAAUGGGCGAAAGCCUGACGGAGCAACGCCGCGUGAGUGAUGAAGGUCUUCGGAUCGUAAAACUCUGUUAUUAGGGAAGAACAAAUGUGUAAGUAACUAUGCACGUCUUGACGGUACCUAAUCAGAAAGCCACGGCUAACUACGUG